rnacentral:rRNA from 1 species
GACGAACGCUGGCGGCGUGCUUAACACAUGCAAGUCGAGCGGAGCGGCGAACGGGUGAGUAACGCGUGAGUAACUGCCCCCCUCUCUGGGAUCACAGUUGGAAACGGCUGCUAAUACCGGAUAGUGGGGGAUGACUCGCGUCCUGUCAGCUUGUUGGUGGGGUAGUGGCCUACCAAGGCGACGACGGGUAGCCGGCCUGAGAGGGCGACGGGCCACAGUGGGCUGAGAAACGGACGAAACUCCGGCGGGAGGCAGAAGUAAGGAAGAUGGCGGAAGGGGGGAAGCCCGGAGGCAGAAGCGCCGCGUGGAGGAGGACACUUUUCGGAGCGUAAACUCCGGUUAUCAGGGGGUACCUGGGGAAUAAGCACCGGCUAACUCCGUGCCAGCAGCCGCGGUAAUAC